UACGGAGGGUGCAAGCGUUAUCCGGAUUCACUGGGUUUAAAGGGAGCGUAGGUGGGCUGGUAAGUCAGUGGUAAAAUCUCCGGGCUUAACUCGGAAACUGCCGUUGAUACUAUCAGUCUUGAAUAUUGUGGAGGUAAGCGGAAUAUGUCAUGUAGCGGUGAAAUGCUUAGAUAUGACAUAGAACACCUAUUGCGAAGGCAGCUUACUACGCAUAUAUUGACGCUGAGGCACGAAAGCGUGGGGAUCAAACAGG
rnacentral:rRNA from 1 species